GUGUUUGUUUGCAGCUGAAGAAAGAUGAAGAUAAGAUAUACAGUGUGACACUAGAGGAGGACGUGCAGGUCAGGAACCUGAAACCAGCUGUGGUCAAAGUGUACGAUUACUACCAAACAAGUGAUGAGGCGGUCACUGACUACACCUCCCCCUGUGCAGAGAGUGACACCAUCAACGAGCUGUAAAAUCCUGCAGAGCCCCAAGUGACUGGACUUCUUUCACGUUCCCGCCUGGAAGAAUCGCUGCGUCAAAGAAACAUCCUGAUGUUUAUUUUCUUCUUCUUAGACUGUUUCUUAGAUUUUACUUCUUUUUUUUAAUUUUUUCUUUUUUUCUUUUUUCUUUUUUACUGCUUUUAAACUUUUUAGUCGUGUUAUAAUGUGAGUGAGUCCCACUUUAUGUGUAAUUUUAGGACAAAAUUUUUACUUUUUUUGUGAUUGUCUUGUUGCUGUUACAUGCCCCCCCUCCUCCUUUUAGUGAGUGUCAGUAAUGUAGCAAUAACCAGUCAGCGUUCAGUAAUCACUGCUGCGUCUCUCUCAACACUGGAACCUUCAUUCUUUUAACCCGCCGAGCUCAAGAAACAGACGAAAAACUCUAACAGUUCUGUUUUUUUAAUAGAUUUGACAAAAUCCAUAUAAUUCAUACGUGAAGGUGACGCAUGAGACAUACAGGGUACCAAUAACACAGUAUGGUCUGAGUAUUGAUUGACUGCGAGUGUCUGUGUGUGUGUGUGUGUGAAACAGGAUCUAUUUUCUAAAAAAAAACAAGUCUCACGAGUGCUAGGUGAAUCAUAGUGUGUGUGUGUGUGUGUGUGUGUGUGUGUUCUGCUGUACCAGUAAAAAAAGAAAAAGGUAGAUUGAUACAUCACUACCAUACAAUUUGAAAUGUAACUGACAAUAAAAUUUUCUAAAAUGACAAAAAUAAGUAAAAACUGUACUUCUUUUUCAUACCGUUUCAUUUUCAAUAGUAUUUUUUUCAUUUAGGCAUCCUCUCUACAGUAUAUUUAGUUUCCUUUCUUUUCAACAUAGAUAACAACAGUAAUGUAUAUACCAUCUACUAUCAACAGACAUGAUUUAACAGCCUUGCCAGUGUUGAAUAGUUUGGUUUGCACAUGUUAAAUGUGCAGGGGGAGUAAAAGGCAAGGGGGACAUAAUAUAUUAAGGUCUUUUAACUAGUCUUCUACUUCUUUUUUCUUUUCUUUUUUAAAAGAAGUAAACAUGUCACUAUCUCAGGCACCACGACCAUAAAUUAUCAUCACUUGACCGACACAUGAAACUAAACAACAGUUCCACAUGCUCCGAAUAUCACAGCGUAGUUUGUCGUCCUCUCUGCUCCCUGCGGGAACAGUUCAACUAAACAACAACAAAAAAAAGUCUCCCGUUAUCCGUUAACUACAAACUGUCACGUUCACGGUUUAGAUGAAUAGAUUCACAAUGUGAUGAUGGACACGCCCGAGCACUUUACAGUCUGUUUUUAAAGCUCGAGACAUUUCUUUAACCGUCCUCAUGCGUUCAGGCCUCAGGUCACAGCGGGGAUUCACCCUCCACUACUGAAUGUACAAAAUAUUACACACAUUUUUCAUGAGCUGAAGUUUCCAAAAUCAAAAUUUCAGCUGGUUUUGAGAUUGAAUUUCCUGUUUUCUGAUUGGUGCAUGUGUAAGG